UAUACGGAAACUUUAUGCACACGGAGUAACUUCAUUUUUUUUUUUUUUUUUUGCGGAGCCAUUGAAAUGAAUGGUUCCGUAUACGGUCCGCAAAAAAUACGGAAGGGACACGGAAUGAAGAUAUGUUAGUGUGCGCGAGCCCUAAACCUAAUGAUAUCAUCUGCCUUUUUUAAAGAAAAAAAUUCACUUUCAUUACCAUGGUGCUGCUUUUAUGGGAGAAUUUUAAUCUUCAUUUUACUCAACAGUUUAUUAGAAUGUUUAGGUUUUUGGAUUUUUUUUCUUCAAAUAUUCAUAUUUUUUUCUUCACUUUUUUUCAAACUUUUUUUUAAUUUGUUUUUCACGUUUUUUUUCUUUUUCUUUUUUCGAAUCUUCCUAAUGUAUAGAUCACCCAAGACAGGUGUGCUUUAAUGCGCAGCCGCACUGAGAUGUAUGAAUUGUUUGUUUCAAGCGACAAAUAUUGCUAAAAAGUUAAUUGUUCUCUUUCACUGUGUUUUCUCUCUACUCUGGAUAUAUACUGGACAAAACUGAACGUGUGAAAAAAAUCCAUCUUUUUCCUAGUUGCAAAAUCGAUGUGACUCCUGUGUUUUCUGUCGGAUGCCUUUUACAUCGAUUUAUCUUGUGUGUGUUUUUUUUUUUUUUUUUAAGUUUUUUCAUUUUUUUGUUUUACAACAGUAGGAACGAGAGUCUGUGAACGAUGCUCCACAUAACGUUUUCUAAAUGAUAAAAUGUAUACAGAAAUGUCUAUAUAAAAUAUAUCUAUAUGUAUGCAAAGUGCAGAAAUAUUUUUUAAAAAAUGCAGUCUCCUGCUAUAUGCACCUUUUACCCCUCCCCCUGCAAAUGCCGCUAUAUACCUGCUUCAGCGUAAACAAUGAGCCAUUUUGAGAACCUGUCCUGUGGAAAUAUACCGUAUAUAUACGCUACCCUGGAAAUUGCUGAUAGUUGUAUUGCUAAUUCAUGUCCGAUCACAAAUAAACAGUAUUUUAAGUAGAUACAUUUUUGUAAUUUCACCUUUUUAAUAAAGAGGAGUUAAUCUU